rnacentral:misc_RNA from 1 species
AAAGGCUGUGAGUUGUCCAAGCUACACUCUGCAUCAUUCUGUAGACCCCGGGAUUCCGAAUGCAAACUUUCCUGAUUCGGAGCAGGAGGGUAUUCGUAGCCAAUAGCAUUACCAUUGGAUUGUUUAGUCCCACUUGAUGAAGCAAUUUUUUUACGAUCUAAAUUAGCCGAUUUUGAUCCAGACUUACCCUUUGACCUAGAAUUUCCCUCUCGUGCAGAACUCGGCGGCGAUAUCUGAAACUGCCAAUCAGAUA